AAAGACCACAUUUUUGCAUUGUUUAUGUUCAAUGUUUGACCAUUUAUCUUAUUUGAAAAAAAUAAUGAUUAUAGUACUUUUUUAUUGUUAUUAGAUGAUAAAACAUGAAUAGUACUUUAUACGUGACUAAAUUUUUAACUUUUUAAUACUUUUUUUUAAAUAAGAUGGAUAGUCAAACAUUUAACAUAGAAAUCUCUAACAACAUUUAAA
rfam:Oryza glaberrima chromosome 1 Oglab01_0049_2, whole genome shotgun sequence.